CUUACUUCUUCCUGAAGCCUCCCUGACGCCCCAAGCUGAGUGUCCUCGGAGCAGCAGGAAGUCCUGCCAGCUCUCUCGCCCCAGACGGUCUUGUCGCCUGGUCAAGCCUGUCGCCCCUGGGUGGCCUGGACUGGCGGCUUCUCGCCCUUGGAGCUCCAGCCACGUCGCCCGGCUCGCUUUCAGCUUCUGGAAGAUUCCCGCUCCUUCUGCCCCUCACCCCUCUUCCUUUGCCACCCCGGGGGUGCCUCCCUGAGCUCCCGACCGCCUGGGAUCCCGCGAUCGUUCCACACGCUUAGAGCACGGGAGACAGUUUCCUUCUGGCACAAUCCGGGACUCUACGUUCAGCUGUGUCACUAAGCCGGACCCGCAGCGUGUCCCCGGGCCCCCCGCGUACCCGGCGCGCAGCAGGGGGCACGGCCAGGUGAAGCCGCGAGUGGCUGAACGAGCGUCACUCCGGCGCGCGGGCCUAGCGGGGAGGAAGGGCCCGCGCACCGCCGCCGCCGCCGCUCCCCAGGACCCCGCAGAGCCCUCAGCUCCCUAGCUUGGCGCCGGAAGCGGCCCGCCCGGCCCCCUCCCCGGGGCGCCCGACGCCUUAUCUCGGCGCCUUGGGGCCGCAGGAGGAGUCGCGGGCGCGCCGGGAGGGAGGCGGCGGCGGCGGCAUGGCCCGGGGGCCCCGGGGCGCCGGCUUCCCGCCUGGGCGCCUGCUGCCGCUCCUGCCGCUGCUCAGCCUGGCCCUCGGCGUGCCCCGAGCGCCGGGCGCGGACGCUUUAGAUGUCUGUGCCACUUGCCAUGAACAUGCUACCUGCUUGCAAAGAGGAGGGAAGAAGAUGUGUAUUUGCAAAUACGGAUUUGUGGGCAAUGGGAGGACUCAAUGUAUUGAUAAAAAUGAGUGCCAGUUUGGAACCACUGUGGUCUGUGGGAACCACACAUCUUGUCACAACACACUCGGAGGAUUUUAUUGCAUUUGCCUAGAAGGAUAUCGAGCCACAAACAACAACAAGGCGUUCAUCCCCAAUGACGGCACCUUUUGCACAGACAUAGAUGAGUGUGAGGUUUCCGGCCGGUGCAGGCAUGGAGGACGGUGCGUGAACACUCGUGGGAGCUUUGAAUGCUACUGUAUGGAUGGAUACUUGCCAAAGGGUGGGCCUGAGCCUUUCCAUCCAAGCAGAGAUGCCACGUCGUGCACAGAAAUAGACUGUGGCACCCCUCCUGAGGUCCCAGAUGGCUAUAUCAUAGGAAAUUAUACCUCUAGGCUUGGCAGCCAGAUUCGUUAUGCUUGCAAAGAAGGAUUCUUCAGUGGCCCAGAAGAUACAGUUUCAAGCUGCACAGCCUUGGGCACAUGGGAAUCCCCAAAAUUAAAUUGCCAAGAGAUCAACUGUGGCCACCCUCCGGAAGUGCAGCAUGCGGUCCUGGUGGGGAAUCACAGCUCCAGACUGGGCGGUAUGGCUCACUAUGUCUGUCAAGAGGGCUUUGAGAGCCCUGGAGGAAAGAUCACUUCUGUUUGCACAGAGAAAGGGAUCUGGAGAACAAGUACUUUGUCAUGCACAGAAAUCAUUAUAGAAAUUAAUGACGUGUCAGUGUUUAAUAACACUUGUGUGAGGUGGCAAAUAAACCCAGGAAGAAUAAACUCCAAGAUUGUAUAUGUGAUAUACAUAAAAGGACAACGGCUGGACUCCAUGGAAACAGUUCAUGAGGAGACAGUUAAUUUGACCACAGACAACAGGACCCCGAAAGUGUGCCUAGAUCUGUACCAGGGCACCAACUACACCAUGCACAUUUCUAUUGCCUCUCCCAGACGCUCUGUGCCAGCCAUCAUUGGGUUCCAGACAGCUGGUGAUGAUCUCUUAGAAGAUGACAGGAUUUUCAAUAUUUCAGUACUUAAUGAAGCUUGUUUGAAAUUGAACAGGCAUUCUAAGAAAGUUGGAUCAGAACGAAUGUACCAAUUUAAAGUUCUAGGUCAAAGGUGGUAUCUGAAUAAUUUUUAUCACGCAACAUCAUUUAACUUCACAACGAGGGAACAAACUGCAGUGGUGUGUUUAGAUCUGUAUCCAGCAACUGAGUACACAGUGAAUGUCACCCUCCUGGGAUCUCCCGAGCAGCACUCAGUGCAAAUAACAAUGACAACCGCACCAGCAGUAAAACAGACCAUCAGUAACAUUUCAAUAUUUAAUGAAACCUGCUUGAGAUGGAGAAGUAUGAAGACAGCUGAUAUAGAGGAGAUGUAUUUAUUCCACGUUUGGGGCCAGAGAUGGUAUCAGAAGGAAUUUGCCCAGGAAAUGGUCUUUAAUAUCACUGCCAGCAGCCAGGCUCCUGAGAUGUGUUUGGACCUGCGGCCAGGUACCAACUACAGUGUCAGCAUCCAGGCUUUGUCUUCUGAACUUCCUGUGGUCAUCUCCCUGACAACGCAGAUAACAGAGCCUCCCCUUCCGGAAGUAGACUUUUUCACUGUGCAUGGAGGGCCUUUACCACGCCUGAGACUGAGGAAAGCCAAGGAGAAAAAUGGACCCAUCAGUUCAUAUCAGGUGUUAGUGCUUCCCCUGGCCCUCCAAAGCACAUUUGUUUGUGAUUCUGAAGAGGCUACCUCAUUCUUUAGCAAUGCUUCUGGUGCUGAUGGAUAUGUGACGGCAGAACUGCUGGCCAAGGAUGUUCCCGAUGAUGCCAUGGAGAUAUCUAUUGGAGACAGGCUGUACUAUGGGAAAUAUUAUAAUGCACCCUUGAAAAUAGGGAAUGAUUACUGCAUUAUAUUACGAAUCACAAGUGAAUGGAAUAAGGUGCGAAGAAGCUCCUGUGCAGUUUGGGCUCAGAUUCAUCGCUCACGCUGCUGCAGAUGGUAGGCGUCGGGCUAGGCUCCCUGGCUGUUGUGAUUGUCCUCGCAUUCCUCUCCUUCUCAGCAGUGUGAUUGCCAAUGCUGCGUGAAGAGGAUGCGCUGCUGCUGGGGCAGAUGUUCUGACAGCUUCUCAGGUGUCUGCACAGAGGCCUUGUGUGUGCGUGGGCCUGCAAUCCCAUUCCUGGAUUCAAGACGGUGACUAUCUCUUUGGAAUCCCCCAAAAGGAGGACACUCGGGAAUUGUUGAUGUCUUCCCUGCUACACGACCAGUUCUGUGUCUCUGAACUUGAGAACCUUGACGUACAAUGUAAUAUUGACCACAGGCUACAGGCCUGUGUUCUCCCCUGAGUGAUGCCUGAGAGUCAGCUCCUCUAGGCACUGAAUGCAAGAGACUGUCUACCUCUUCCUUUAUAGCAUCUCUGUCAUUAAUUCAGAAUCCAUUCUUUUACAAUAAGUAAUGAGAUAGACUGAAGUGUGGGCUAGAAUUUGACUUUAUGAAGGAGGUCAUUGCAAAGGCUAGAGAUCAUUGACAUAGACAAAUACGGUAAACACUUUAGAAGCACUUUUCCGACAAUUGGUUGACACACUAAUGAGAAAGUAUGCUAGCCUGGCCACUCCAGUAAGUUCCCUGCAAAAUCUGUUAGGCAGUGUUGCUUUGAUACAGUUCCUUUUGUCUUAUAUGUAUUCAAAAGCCAUAAGCCUUCAUUCCAGUAAAAAUAUUCUGUUAAGUUAGACAGUUCUCUUCCACAUGAAUGUUUAGAACAGCCUUGGCAAAAUUUUUUUCACUGAACAUUUCCUAAAAAUGCUCCGUGCCUCCUUUUAGACUUGGGGGUGGGGUGGUAACAAUGGGUUGCAACAUUAUGAAGCCCACGGCCCGAGUCCUGUGUUUAUAGGGGAGGGGAACAAUGCGGGUGACACGAUCGUCCCUUUUAUCUACAACGUCAGUAGCUAUGAGUGUUACUUUAUCAUGAACCAUGUCCCGGAACUACUGUCAAUAUGCUGAAUUUACAGAUGGAGUGGAUUCGAUUUGACUUUUAAAGCCCGAAUCAGUGUUCUUGAACUUUCCUCCCUAACCAACAAUGUAACUCCAAGGCUCAGCAAGGAACGAAGGGAGAAGAAGGAUGGAGGCUUGUGGCUUCUCUAAGUGAUGGUGGUAUCCUCCUAUGCCUUCUCCCUCCUUCUCCAGGCCUAGAGACUAGAAAGCAUGGGGAGGGGUGGGGGGGACAGUGAUAUUGCCCAACUCGGGGUGAAGCAUAUAUGAACGUGGUCCUAGUAUUGGGCGACACCACAGUCCUGAGGAAAAGGGGCAGUCUUUCCCACAUGGUGGGCUGGUGUGUUCUCCACCGGCUCACUGGGCACCAGUGAGGGACACAUCUGAGCAGCCUGGGCUUGUAGGCAGAUGAGGAGACAUGAGCAAUGAUAGGAAAAGGUGGCAACUCUCUAUGAAGCUGCUUCCCCAGGGGGAUCUGACCCAAAGCAUAUCCUCUCAACUGGGAAGAGUCAGAGAGAGGGAAGUGAUACCCUGAUGCUUGAGUUUUCAAGGCCAGCUGUCAGCCCUGGCCCCAGCCAGUACUGGGCAGUAUUAGGAAUAAUUGUCCUUUGUCCUCUGAGGUGUCGUCUCAGACUACAACUUAGGAUCAACAUGUAGAACACUUCCUGCUCUCAUUCAGGUGAACUGUAGAGUAGAACUCUCAAUAGACUAAUACAAAUAGCUUCCGACUUUUGUUUUUUAUGUGCAACAAUUCAAACUCAUACAGUUUUCACAGCUCUUGAAUUAAAUUUGGAAUCUUUACAAAUUAUUUGGUUAGUAUUAGGUAGGGUCUCUGAUGAGUAAGGAUUUUCCUCCAAGCCUCCUCUAACCAAAGAGAGAAUCUGAGUUUCUCCCCCUUAUUAUUAUUUUUUACCAGCUCUGUAAAAACCAUAUGUUUCUGUAGUCCCCUAAUUUCAAGUUCUAGAAUUAACUGCUAAAGAAGCUACCUUUGUUCACAUGGGAACUUAGCAUAAUUGUCAUCGAAAGGAAGAAGUCCUAUUUGCUUGGUGUCAAAAGUUUCUCGUUAAGAAAACUGACUAAAUAUGAAGUAAAAUGUACUUCUGGGUACAGUGCAGAAAUGUAAAAGCAGUUCAUGAAAGAAUACUGAAAUAACAAAAACAUAGGUUUUGUCCCUUCCUCUAAAUGUUCCAAAGGAUAGCACAGAGUUGCUCAGUGUUAAUACUUAACAGAAGUAGGUGCUGAGCAUUUGCAAGAAGGAUGCGCCAUUUUCCUGCAGUUCUUUUCUGAUCAUUUUCUCAUGCAAAUGAAGGCAGCCUUAAGUUCUCUGAAUUCGCCUGGUAGCUUAACCACAAUACCGUCCCUUUUUUUCCCAAGUGGAUUCCUGGUUAAGGCGGGGAGAGCAUCUCAGGAGACCAAUAGUGGGUCUUCCUAGAAGCAUGCAGGGUCCUUCUGUUGAAGGACUGAUCAGGUAGCAUUCAGAGUUGGGUUAUGAGUGCCACUAAAUAAAGCUGGAUCCUCAGAUGGUGAUGGAAGAAGGAUCUUUUCCUUAUUAACUGUCUUGGGGACAGUGUGUAGAGGUGAGUGCCAAGAUCCAGUCUUGAGCUCCCUUCUAGACUAGGAAUCAAAACAGAGGGUUGCCCAGAUAUGGAGCAGAUUGUUCCCUGGCUGAAUUUUUUUUUUUUUUUUGGUGCCCAUAGUUUUUAUUUAUCUCCACCAUAGUUUUUGUUCAUACAUGUUCUUUCAUUCCAUCCUCAUAGCAGUUCUGUGUGGUGGGAAGGUUAGGAGUUAUCAUUUUCCCAUUUUAGAGUGGAGAGAUGGGUUCAGGCAGAGACGUAACUUCAAUUGUGGGGCCAGAUAUUCUGCCUGCAAGUACAGUUCUCAUUCCUGGGACCUGACAGGACAUUUGGGUUCCUGGGAGAGCUAGGCCUUUGUAUUUCUGAACUAUAUAUAUAUAUAUAUAUGCAUUGCUUUUACUAUUAUAGCACCUGUGUCUUUUUAUACUUAUCUUUUCGCUGUGAUAUACCUUCUCCCAUCACUUCUAGAAGGAGCCAGCCACAAGCAACCAAAAUAGAUGGAGGUUAACUAGGGGAAAUAGGUAAUAGUCCAUCCAUGACCCCAGACCUAAAAUUGCAGCUGGGCCCUUAAGAUUAAGACCACAGCAAAAGUCAUUACCUUGAAAUUCCAUAGUGGAUUGGAAUAAAGUUAAUAUUUAAAUUGAUUUUAAAGGAGGUAAAGAAUUCUCAAGGCUCCCUUUUUUGGCUAAUCUCAUAUUCCGAUUUCCUAACCCUUUAAUUUUUCCAUUCCCUUCAUCAGAGAGAAAACCAGUGGGUAGUAGACGUCAAUCAAAUGGUGUUUUAAGGACCGUUUGCCUCCCACAGCCAUCGUUGGUUAAACUCAAGUGCCUGAUUUUGGAGAGGAAAGGGCGUGUGGAUUUUUCUGUGUCCGUUUGUGGGCAGGUGAUGCAGUGAGGCAGGUCAGUUUAAAAAAGUGUACGUCCAUUGUUUCAGAAAGAGAGAGAAUGAAUGAAUCAUUCUGGACGUGUGUGUGUAUCCAUAUCCAUACUUUUUUGGGAUAACUCAAGGUUACCAAAAUGGGGUCAAACUAGGCAUGUGGUUUGUAACAUGCAUUGGACACAUUUUUCAUGUCAAUCAUGAUGGCAUUAAAAGUUGGUACCAUAAUUUAUUUAACUAAUACACUGUUGAGUAUUGUGCAUUUAGAGUAUUUCCAGAUGUUUACUAUUCUUAUAUAUGUCUGUAUAACUGCAUGCAGUUAUCACUUACGCUAAAUUCCUAGACUUGAAGUUGUUGGAAUGAAAACGAUAUACAUUGUAGAUUUACUGCAUAUUGUCAGAGGAAUCUCAGAAAGUUUAUACCAGUUUAUGCUCUCACCAGCAGGAAGACUCAACAUACCUGGGCAUCGUUGAUAUUCUUAAUCUUGAUUAAUCUGGUAGGUGAAAAAUGACCUUUCAAUGUUUAGUUUGCAUUUCUCUGACUAAUUUGCAUGUUGACUGGUCAUUUGUAAUUCUGUUGUGGUGAUAUGCCUUUUUUCUCAGUAGUUGGCUUGUCUUAUAUUGAUUUGAAAAAGUUCUUUGUAUUAUAGUAAUUUUCGCUUUUAGCUGUCACACGUGUUGUAAACAAAUUUUCUACUUUAUUAUUUCCCUUUUGACCUGUUUGUGUCAUGCACUGCCGCACAAAAACUUUAAAUUUGUGUAGUCAAAUGUAUCAGUCUUUUUCCAUAUGUAUUUUGCCUUUGGUACCAUGCUUAGAAGGACUUUCCAAUCUCAAGGUAAUAACUAUAAUUCAGCAGUUAAAAAACCAUUUAAAUCUUUAAUCCAUCUGAAACAUUUUAGUAUAAGGAAUGAGGUCGGGAGGGGUCUUUUUUUAUUUUUGCUAAAUGGUUUAGCCAGUUGUUCUAUGAAUAUUCCUUGACUGUUAUUUUUUUCCCCUCGUGAUUUGACUCGUAUACUGAAUCAUAUACUAGAGUCUAUUUCUGAACUUUCUCUUUUGUUCUGCUGAUUUAUUUCUGUGCCAGUGCCACCUGCUAUAAGUUUAAAAUAGGGUUUUUUUUUUAGUACCAACUAAAAGUAAGUUACCACCCUUUUUCUGUUAAUUCUCAGAGUAUUCUCAGGUUUUAUUAUAUAUUUAUUCAUGUAUACAUAUUUAUUAUAUGUAAACUAAAGAAUUAUUUGGUCAAGUUCCCCCCAAAAUCUUCAUAUUUUUCUUGGGGAUGUAUUAAAUAAAGAGUGCUCUUAUCCCAGAACACAG